rnacentral:rRNA from 1 species
GGCGCUCUCUCGCGUUGUACACGUCGGCAAAGUUACUGUGCAACGCUGGGGUGAAAAAAAAAUCUCGGUAAAACCAAGCCGCCGGCACACGCUUGCUCCCCACUGUGCCAUUCCCCUCUCCCCUCGCCUCCUCCUCUCCCGAGUCCCUGCGCCGCCGGCUCCUCCCCUUCUCUUACGCCUUCUCCUCCCCAUUCCUCUCAUCUCCCUGCCUGGGUUACAGCCGCCGCCCUCGCCCCAGGUGAGUUGUUGCUGGGGGCGGGGCGGGGCGGGCUGGUGCCCUCGAGUUUGCCAUUAAGGAAGCCGUGGGUGGAGGUGAGACGCUGCUGGAGUUCAAGGUGGCUGAACGCCACGACGGGGCAACAGAUCGGCAGCCUGCGGCCCGGACCUCAGGUCCAGUUCAUGUUAAUUACCCGAAGCUUGGCGAGUUGUGGUGGUUAAUAAUUCCAUUUGCUUUGACGACACUAGAUCAUUAGUCACGGGAUGUUAAGCUCGCUCUGUAGUGUUGCUUACAAUAUUUCCUCAAUUUCCAUUGGUGGGAAUUUUGAGUGAGAAUGAUCCACAUGAUUGACAAGAACAGGGAAUGAUUAGCUUCAAGCACAUAGCAAAGAAUGUGAAAAUAAUAUAUUUAACGUUGUAUGGAGAUGCAGUACUUGAUGCGCUCCUCUGGAUCCGCUGCCCCUCUUUGUUUCUGAUUAUUGUUCUUCUCAUAUACUAUCAAAUUUCCAUGGAUGGGAUCUGAUGAAUGAGUAUCCCGUGUCUGCGGCAACUCGCAUGGCCUGAUCCGGAAGUACGGGUGUGCUGCAGGCAUUGCUUCCACAACUAUGCCAAGGACAUUGGCUUCAUCAAGGUAUGAGCCACCCCACUAUUUAUUGAUUUCCUUAAUCAUGUGCCUGAGUUUGAUGACUGCUGAGUAGUAAUAUGUUACCCCAUGCUUUCCUUUGAACAAUAUAUAUGCUUUGUCUACAAGGCCUCUUGGUAUGCUGCACCAAUUUUAAUUUGUUGGAGACUACCAUCUGGUAGUGUGAGUUAUUAAAUAAUGUAGUGUGAUGUAUGACAUGUUGGAUUCACUUAUUCAGAAUAGAUCUAUGUACUGCCCUCCUCAUUCCCGGAGUAAACCCAGUUAAGUUCUGCAAUCAUCACUUCAUGUUCUGCCUUGCAUUACUUUGUAUCUGUUUGAACAAUAUGUGUAAUUUCUACGCACCAUAAGUCAACUUGGAAUGGACCUAGUUGUGCAUGACUACAUGAUAGCUUUGUUUGUUUGUUAUUCCCACCUAUAUAAGUCUUACUCUGCUGCAUCUAUCUCCAGUCUCGGCUAUUUUACUAACUGUCAACUACCAAGUUUUUCCUGAGCAUACCAUUCCAUUUCAAAGCACAACAAAUCGAGUGUAUUGCAAUUGCUCAAAUAUUUAUUAAGUAGGUAUAUAUACAUUGUAUAUAUUUAUUUCCUGAAUAACGAUGAUUUAUUAGAAGUUAAGAUGAUUUUCCUUUUGAAGAAUUUUGUUUCCAUUUCCAUUUUAUCUCAUUAACUAUAGGUUUUAUGCUUCAGUUUUUAGGGUUGGGUAAACUAUUGUUCAGAUGCAUGUGUUAUGUUUGAAUACCUGAAUGUCCGUGUGUAACUAAUUUCUUGUAUUCCUUUUAUUUUGCAUAAUCCCAAUCUAAUUAUACUGAUAGCUGCAUUUGUGCUCUUGUUUAACGGUACCGUUAAGAAUGGAACCUCAAAGGAAGCAAGGACUAUGAAGUUAUCAUCAAACUGUGGUGUUUCAACGAGGACGAUCUUUAUCAACAAUGAGGGUUGAAUUAGAUCUUCACAGACAAAUACAUCUUUAUGUAAUAAAAAUGCUGAUAUGAUGAUCGGGAGGAGUUGCAGAAGAUAGAUUUCAAAUGGCUUGAAUAAGAAGAGAUGCAGAUCACUAUUCUAGACAGACUUUGAAGGAUGAAGAAUAAAGAACACUCUAUGAUCAGGGAUUGCAAAAGAGUGGCAUUUAAAAGGCAGCUGGCAUUUGAUGAAUUGCUGAAUGGUGGUGGUUGCACACCAUGGGGGACAGUGUUCCAAGAGAGGUCUCAAAGAUGGUUAGAGAUUAGGCAGUCCAACGUCAAACAUGAUUGUGCUGAUGUCUGGGUUUCGGCUUGGUGGUGAGGUGCUUGAGGUCACGGCUCUGCGUCAGGAACCUCCUCUUGAGCGGGCUUGUACUUCAUGGUGGUGAGGUCUAUCUUGAUGGUAGACCAGUUGGUUGAUUAAAUGCCAGUAGGAGCAGCUCAGUGAACCACUGAUGUAGUCUCACUGUGCAUCAGUAUUGUUGACCUCAACUUGUCUAUUCAUAUGAUCCAUGUAUCGUAUUUAGUUUCUCUCUAAGACUUGGUAUGCCUGUGUUCUGGUGAUCCGAGGAACUCUGCCUCUCUUUUGGAGAUCAUCCACCUUUUGGAGACUGUUAAACCUUGAUUUGAAAAUCUGGAUGUGUCUAUGACGAGUCAUCCACCUUGUAAGAUUGUCAUCUAUCUGUUACUCCCUCCGUACAAAGUUGAGUCAUCUAUUUUGGAACGGAGGGAGUACCUAUUAGCAUCGAUCAAACUAUUUCUCUUGC